rnacentral:ncRNA from 1 species
UWACCUUCGGGAGGGCGCUUACCACUUUGUGAUUCAUGACUGGGGUGAAGUCGUAACAAGGUAACCGUAGGGGAACCUGCGGUUGGAUCACCUCCUUA